rnacentral:rRNA from 1 species
AACGGGUGCGUAACACGUGAGAAAUCUGCCCUUAAGUUCGGAAUAGCCCUACGAAAGUAGAAUUAAUACCGGAUGUGGCCCAGGGAGGGCAUCUUCCCCUGGCUAAAGCUUGACCAGCAAUGGUUAGAGCGCUUUUGGAUGAUCUCGCGGUCUAUCAGCUUGUUGGUGAGGUAACGGCUCACCAAGGCUUUGACGGAUAGCUGGUCUGAGAGGAUGAUCAGCCUCACUGGAACUGAGACACGGUCCAGACACCUACGGGUGGCAGCAGUCGAGAAUCAUUCACAAUGGGCGCAAGCCUGAUGGUGCGACGCCGCGUGGGGGAUGAAGGGCUUCGGUUCGUAAACCCCUGUCAUCUGUGAGUAAGACUCCCAAUAAAAGCUUGGGAGGUUGAUAUUAGCAGAAGAGGAAGGGACGGCUAACUCUGUGCCAGCAGCCGCGGUAAUACAGAGGUCCCAAGCGUUGUUCGGAUUUACUGGGCGUAAAGCGUGCGUAGGCGGCGAGGUAAGUUUGGCGUGAAAGCCCCGGGCCCAACCCGGGAAAUGCGCUGAAAACUACUUCACUAGAGGUGUGGAGGGGAGUCUGGAAUUCCUGGUGUAGCAGUGAAAUGCGUAGAUAUCAGGAGGAACAUCA